AUAUAUUUCGGCUUCAGUUAGCCAUGCCGUCUUAUCAAAAUGAAAAGGUUUAUGUUUACCCUCAUCGUACUUUCAACAGGCCUUGUCGGUGGCUAUCGCAGAAAGUCGUGGAAUAAUUGCAAAAGGCUCGGCCCCAACCCUACCGAGCAGAAACCAGCAAAGUUAUGCUGGUACCAUUGCUAUGACGAAGACAGGAACAGAGUGCACCGAAAGUUGGAAUCCUACGGUACCCCGUGCGCCGGCCGUCCAAACCGCCCCAUGGGAUUCUGCUGGGGUUCGCAUUGCCACCAAGACCGCUUCGGCAGGCGCCCACCCUGGACUACAAGUGCGGGCAGUAAAGGCCCAACCACUGCACCACCUACCGGCUCGACCGCUGCGACUUCUAGGCCGUCGCCAUCGGAGCCUUACCAGCGUGGUAGUGCAAAGCAAACUGUCAACAGCACCGGAAAAAAGCAAUUCAGAGCCCUACAAUGAAGCGUCCAUAAGAAAGCCCCCAAUAGCGCGUCAAGGCGCCGAGCAGAGGGCAAAGUUUCACACUUCACGAACCACCAGCAGCUAAAGGAUGACGUGGCAGCAUAUCUGGGGUAGACGAUAGGAGAAAUCAUAAAAACAAGUUAAAAUAUUUUUUUUUCA